rnacentral:misc_RNA from 1 species
ACGACUUGAAGGAGUUUAUUGGAAAUGAUAAUACUACUGAUGAUGAAACACAAACAGUAUUGGAACGGAGAAUCUAUGGGAAAGGUGAAGGUGAUGGGGAGAAAAUGUGUUCGGUAUUGUAUAGAGAUAAGCUUGCAAAGACUUUCAAUUCGAUAGGAUAUGUAAAGUUUGAGAAUUUGGCUAAAAUAUCGCGGCCGAAGAAGAAAAAAUGGAAGAGAGAGGAAAAAGAGGGAAAUGGAAGGAAGAGGAGAGGGUAUGGGAGAAGUGAUAUGUCAAUGGUGGAGG